AAAUUGAAGAGUUUGAUCAUGGCUCAGAUUGAACGCUGGCGGCAGGCCUAACACAUGCAAGUCGAACGGUAGCACAGAGAGCUUGCUCUCGGGUGACGAGUGGCGGACGGGUGAGUAAUGUCUGGGAAACUGCCUGAUGGAGGGGGAUAACUACUGGAAACGGUGGCUAAUACCGCAUAACGUCGCAAGACCAAAGAGGGGGACCUUCGGGCCUCUUGCCAUCAGAUGUGCCCAGAUGGGAUUAGCUAGUUGGUGAGGUAACGGCUCACCAAGGCGACGAUCCCUAGCUGGUCUGAGAGGAUGACCAGCCACACUGGAACUGAGACACGGUCCAGACUCCUACGGGAGGCAGCAGUGGGGAAUAUUGCACAAUGGGCGCAAGCCUGAUGCAGCCAUGCCGCGUGUAUGAAGAAGGCCUUCGGGUUGUAAAGUACUUUCAGCGGGGAGGAAGGUGUUGUGGUUAAUAACCGCAGCAAUUGACGUUACCCGCAGAAGAAGCACCGGCUAACUCCGUGCCAGCAGCCGCGGUAAUACGGAGGGUGCAAGCGUUAAUCGGAAUUACUGGGCGUAAAGCGCACGCAGGCGGUCUGUCAAGUCGGAUGUGAAAUCCCCGGGCUCAACCUGGGAACUGCAUUCGAAACUGGCAGGCUUGAGUCUUGUAGAGGGGGGUAGAAUUCCAGGUGUAGCGGUGAAAUGCGUAGAGAUCUGGAGGAAUACCGGUGGCGAAGGCGGCCCCCUGGACAAAGACUGACGCUCAGGUGCGAAAGCGUGGGGAGCAAACAGGAUUAGAUACCCUGGUAGUCCACGCCGUAAACGAUGUCUACUUGGAGGUUGUGCCCUUGAGGCGUGGCUUCCGGAGCUAACGCGUUAAGUAGACCGCCUGGGGAGUACGGCCGCAAGGUUAAAACUCAAAUGAAUUGACGGGGGCCCGCACAAGCGGUGGAGCAUGUGGUUUAAUUCGAUGCAACGCGAAGAACCUUACCUGGUCUUGACAUCCACAGAACUUUCCAGAGAUGGACUGGUGCCUUCGGGAACUGUGAGACAGGUGCUGCAUGGCUGUCGUCAGCUCGUGUUGUGAAAUGUUGGGUUAAGUCCCGCAACGAGCGCAACCCUUAUCCUUUGUUGCCAGCGGUUAGGCCGGGAACUCAAAGGAGACUGCCAGUGAUAAACUGGAGGAAGGUGGGGAUGACGUCAAGUCAUCAUGGCCCUUACGACCAGGGCUACACACGUGCUACAAUGGCGCAUACAAAGAGAAGCGACCUCGCGAGAGCAAGCGGACCUCAUAAAGUGCGUCGUAGUCCGGAUUGGAGUCUGCAACUCGACUCCAUGAAGUCGGAAUCGCUAGUAAUCGUGGAUCAGAAUGCCACGGUGAAUACGUUCCCGGGCCUUGUACACACCGCCCGUCACACCAUGGGAGUGGGUUGCAAAAGAAGUAGGUAGCUUAACCUUCGGGAGGGCGCUUACCACUUUGUGAUUCAUGACUGGGGUGAAGUCGUAACAAGGUAACCGUAGGGGAACCUGCGGUUGGAUCACCUCCUUA
rnacentral:rRNA from 1 species